GAUGAACGCUGGCGGCGUGCCUAAUACAUGCAAGUCGAGCGAACAGACGAGGAGCUUGCUCCUCUGACGUUAGCGGCGGACGGGUGAGUAACACCUGGAUAACCUACCUAUAAGACUGGGAUAACUUCGGGAAACCGGAGCUAAUACCGGAUAAUAUAUUGAACCGCAUGGUUCAAUAGUGAAAGACGGUUUUGCUGUCACUUAUAGAUGGAUCCGCGCCGCAUUAGCUAGUUGGUAAGGUAACGGCUUACCAAGGCAACGAUGCGUAGCCGACCUGAGAGGGUGAUCGGCCACACUGGAACUGAGACACGGUCCAGACUCCUACGGGAGGCAGCAGUAGGGAAUCUUCCGCAAUGGGCGAAAGCCUGACGGAGCAACGCCGCGUGAGUGAUGAAGGUCUUCGGCUCGUAAAACUCUGUUAUUAGGGAAGAACAAAUGUGUAAGUAACUAUGCACGUCUUGACGGUACCUAAUCAGAAAGCCACGGCUAACUACGUG
rnacentral:rRNA from 1 species